rnacentral:rRNA from 1 species
UACGUAGGGGGCAAGCGUUGUCCGGAUUUAUUGGGCGUAAAGAGCUCGUAGGCGGUUCCGUAAGUCGUGAAGUCAAAUCUCUGGGCUCAACCCAGAAUCGCUUCCGAUACUGCGGUGACUGGAGUCCGGUAGGGGAGAACGGAAUUCCUGGUGUAGCGGUGAAAUGCGCAGAUAUCAGGAGGAACACCGGUGGCGAAGGCGGUUCUCUGGGCAUUACCCGACGCUGAGGAGCGAAAGUGUGGGGAGCGAACAGG